rnacentral:rRNA from 1 species
CAAAGAUUAAGCCAUGCAUGUCUAAGUACUAGCAUUAAUACUGUGAAACUGCGAAUGGCUCAUUAAAUCAGUUAUGAUCUACUUGGCAUUCUAACUGCUUUGCUGCUGGAUAACCGCGGUAAUUCUGGAGCUAAUACAUGUGUAUAUAACGGUCGAUGCCGUUGCGUAUAUUAGAUAAAAACCAACCUGGGGUAAAACCUGGUCUUUGGUCGCUCAUAGUAUCCUUGCCGGUCUUCAGUUUAAUCUGGAGCCAGUUCAUUCGAUUUUCUGCCCUAUCAUUGCUUUUGAUUGCACGAUCGAGGCGUGCAAUGGCUUCUACGGGUAACGGGGAAUAAGGGUUCGAUUCCGGAGAGGGAGCCUGAGAAACGGCUACCACAUCCAAGGAAGGCAGCAGGCGCGCAAAUUACCCAAUCCCGACACGGGGAGGUAGUGACAAUAAAUAACAAUGCAGGGCUUUAUAGUCUUGCAAUUGGAAUGAGUACAAUUUAAAUCCUUUAACGAGGAUCAAUUGGAGGGCAAGUCUGGUGCCAGCAGCCGCGGUAAUUUCCAGCUCCAAUAGCGUAUACUAAAGUUGUUGCAGUUAAAACGCCCGCAGUCGAAUUUUAGUCUGUAGGUGGCCAUAUCAGCAUUCAUUUGUUGAUGUUGGUUUAUCUGGGACUUUUGACUGGAUCUCCCUUGACUUCGGUCUUGGGGUCGAACCAGUUGAUUACCAUGAGCAAAUCAGAGUGUUUAAAGCAGGCUUUUUAGCUUGAAUGUGUUAGCAUGGAAUAAUGAAAUAUGAUCUUUGGUCUAUUUUCGUUGGUUCAAGACCAAAAUAAUGAUGAAUAGGAGUGGUCGGGGGCAUUUGUAUUUGGGCGCUAGAGGUGAAAUUCUUGGAUUGCCCAAAGACAAACUACUGCGAAAGCAUUUGCCAAGGACGCUUCCGUUGAUCAGGGGCUAAGGUUAGGGGAUCGAAGACGAUUAGAUACCGUCGUAGUCUUAACAGCAAACUAUGCCGACUAGGGAUUGGACUUGGCUCUUAUGGCUUGUCCAGCACCUUAGCGAAAGCAAAGUUUUUGGGUUCUGGGGGGAGUACGGGACGCAAGGCUGAAACUUAAAGGAAUUGACGGAAGGGCACCACCAGGAGUGGAGCCUGCGGCUU